rnacentral:rRNA from 1 species
GAUGAACGCUAGCUACAGGCUUUAACACAUGCAAGUCGAGGGGCAUCGCGGCGUAGCAAUACGCUGGCGGCGACCGGCGCACGGGUGAGUAAACACGUAUCCAACCUGCCUCCAGCCCGGGGAUAGCCUUCCGAAAGGAAGAUUAAUACCCGAUGGCAUCUGCCUUCCGCAUGGUCGGCAGAUUAAAGAUUUAUCAGCUGGGGAUGGGGAUGCGUUCCAUUAGGCAGUCGGCGGGGUAACGGCCCACCGAACCGACGAUGGAUAGGGGUUCUGAGAGGAAGGUCCCCCACAUUGGAACUGAGACACGGUCCAAACUCCUACGGGAGGCAGCAGUGAGGAAUAUUGGUCAAUGGCCGAGAGGCUGAAACCAGCCAAGUAGCGUGAAGGAUGACUGCCCUACGGGUUGUAAACUUCUUUUAUACGGGAAUAAAGUCCGCUACGAGUAGCGG